GACAGAGGGUGCGAACGUUGUUCGGAAUUACUGGGCGUAAAGCGCUUGUAGGCGGCAGCGCAAGUCGGGCGUGAAAUCCCACGGCUCAACCGUGGAAGUGCACUCGAAACUGCGCAGCUAGAGUCCUGGAGAGGAAGGUGGAAUGCUUGGUGUAGAGGUGAAAUUCGUAGAUAUCAAGCGGAACACCGGUGGCGAAGGCGGCCUUCUGGACAGUGACUGACGCUGAGAUGCGAAAGCGUGGGGAGCAAACAGG
rnacentral:rRNA from 1 species